UUUCCGUAACAAGAAACAAAGCAACAACAAUGGCGACCGUGGAUCAGUGUCUACUAGAACAAAUGGACCUAGAUGACCAGAUGAUACGUUUAAUUAUGCUGCAAAAUCGAUCAAGAAGGCGGCGGCGGUGGUUUGUGGAACCGAGAGUAGCACUGUGUCAGCAAGGGUAAAUUAAAAAGGGAUUUGAAUUCUGGCUGACAUGCUGCAAACCAGUGCUUGCGUCUGCAGUGUCUGGGCGGGCCGGGCUACAGACUGAACUCUGGCAAUCGCUCCUCCUUAUUGCCAAGAGGAUGAGGUAAGAGGAAAUGGAAAAGGAGCGGAGGAAAUGAGCAAGUCAUGGAAGAAUAUCUCAUCAAAUCAAAUCCUCCACAUCCACCAAACCCCCACCCCCCCCAUGAUACGCUUUUUAUGACGAGCAUGAUUCCUUGCUUGAAAGGACUGCCACCUGAGAGAAAUGAAUAUAAUAUGUUAAAUUUCAAUUUCACAAAUUACUUUUUGAACAGAGCACGUUUACUCUAUAUUUGAAACAUUGGGAUCAAUAAAUGUCCAGGUCUCAGUCUUUUCCUGGAAGGAAUCGUGAAUCAUUUUAUUGAUUUUAGAAUCAGCUUUUUUCUGUGUUUUUUAAAAUGGAAUAAAUCCACUUUUACUUUAAUUUUUUGUCUUUUACCUUUUUUGGACAAAAAUACAGUUAAAACUUACAUACACAACCUUGUUCCUUACGUUAUGUCAUGGUGUCAGAUUUAUGUCGAAAUUUUUCUGCAGUGCAUAAAAACGUUAGGUUUGGUUACCUGCUAAAUGCAGUCCAACAGUUUUAUACAGUAUUGCUAUUCCAAAAGUGAAGCUUUGUUGCCUAACAAUACAAUAUAAUCAAUAAAAUACAAAAUAUCCAUCCAUUCUCAACACCACUUA